AUUGAACGCUGGCGGCAGGCCUAACACAUGCAAGUCGAGCGGAGAGGCGGACGGGAGAGUAAUGCCAAGGAAUCUGCAUGGUAGUGGGGGAUAAAGUCCGGAAACGGGCGCUAAUACCGCAUACUAUCAGAUGAGCCUAGGGCGGAUUAGCUAGUUGGGGGGGUAAAGGCCUACCAGGGCGACGAUCCGUACCUGGUCUGAGGGGAUGAUCAGUACCACUGGAACUGAGAACCGGUCCGGACUCCUCCGGGAGGCAGCAGUGGGGAAUAUUCGCCAAUGGGCGAAAUCCUUAUCCAGUAAUGCCGCGUGGGUGAAGAAGGUCUUCGGAUUGUAAAGCACGUUAAUUUGGGAGGCGUUACCAACAUAGUAAGCACCGGCUAACUUCGUGCCAGCAGCCGCGGUAAUAC
rnacentral:rRNA from 1 species